UGCAGUCGAGCGGAACGAUCCCAGCUUGCUGGGAGGCGUCGAGCGGCGGACGGGUGAGUAAUGCAUAGGAAUCUGCCCGAUAGUGGGGGAUAACCUGAGGAAACUCAGGCUAAUACCGCAUACGUCCUACGGGAGAAAGCAGGGGCUCUUCGGACCUUGCGCUAUCGGAUGAGCUUAUGUCGGAUUAGCUGGUUGGUGAGGUAACGGCUCACCAAGGCGACGAUCCGUAGCUGGUCUGAGAGGAUGAUCAGCCACAUCGGGACUGAGACACGGCCCGAACUCCUACGGGAGGCAGCAGUGGGGAAUAUUGGACAAUGGGGGCAACCCUGAUCCAGCCAUGCCGCGUGUGUGAAGAAGGCCCUCGGGUUGUAAAGCACUUUCAGUGAGGAAGAAUGCUUGUCGGUUAAUACCCGGCAAGGGAGACAUCACUCACAGAAGAAGCACCGGCUAACUCCGUGCCAGCAGCCGCGGUAAUACGGAGGGUGCGAGCGUUAAUCGGAAUUACUGGGCGUAAAGCGCGCGUAGGCGGCUUGAUAAGCCGGUUGUGAAAGCCCCGGGCUCAACCUGGGAACGGCAUCCGGAACUGUCAGGCUAGAGUGCAGGAGAGGAAGGUAGAAUUCCCGGUGUAGCGGUGAAAUGCGUAGAGAUCGGGAGGAAUACCAGUGGCGAAGGCGGCCUUCUGGACUGACACUGACGCUGAGGUGCGAAAGCGUGGGUAGCAAACAGGAUUAGAUACCCUGGUAGUCCACGCCGUAAACGAUGUCGACUAGCCGUUGGGGUCCUCGAGACCUUUGGUGGCGCAGUUAACGCACUAAGUCGACGCCUGGGGGAGUACGGCCGCAAGGUUAAAACUCAAAUGAAUUGACGGGGGCCCGCACAGCGGUGGAGCAUGGUGGUUUAUUCGAUGCACGCGAGAC
rnacentral:rRNA from 1 species